rnacentral:rRNA from 1 species
AUUGAACGCUGGCGGCAUGCCUUACACAUGCAAGUCGAACGGUAACAGGUCUUCGGAUGCUGACGAGUGGCGAACGGGUGAGUAAUACAUCGGAACGUGCCUAGUAGUGGGGGAUAACUACUCGAAAGAGUGGCUAAUACCGCAUGAGAUCUACGGAUGAAAGCAGGGGAUCGCAAGACCUUGUGCUACUAGAGCGGCCGAUGGCAGAUUAGGUAGUUGGUGGGAUAAAAGCUUACCAAGCCGACGAUCUGUAGCUGGUCUGAGAGGACGAUCGGCCACACUGGGACUGAGACACGGCCCAGACUCCUACGGGAGGCAGCAGUGGGGAAUUUUGGACAAUGGGCGCAAGCCUGAUCCAGCAAUGCCGCGUGCAGGAUGAAGGCCUUCGGGUUGUAAACUGCUUUUGUACGGAACGAAAAGCCCUGGGUUAAUACCCUGGGGUCAUGACGGUACCGUAAGAAUAAGCACCGGCUAACUACGUACCAGCAGCCGCAGUAAAAC